UAGGGAAUCUUCGGCAAUGGACGAAAGUCUGACCGAGCAACGCCGCGUGAGUGAAGAAGGUUUUCGGAUCGUAAAACUCUGUUGUUAGAGAAGAACAAGGACGUUAGUAACUGAACGUCCCCUGACGGUAUCUAACCAGAAAGCCACGGCUAACUACGUGCCAGCAGCCGCGGUAAUACGUAGGUGGCAAGCGUUGUCCGGAUUUAUUGGGCGUAAAGCGAGCGCAGGCGGUUGCUUAAGUCUGAUGUGAAAGCCCCCGGCUCAACCGGGGAGGGUCAUUGGAAACUGGGAGACUUGAGUGCAGAAGAUGAGAGUGGAAUUCCAUGUGUAGCGGUGAAAUGCGUAGAUAUAUGGAGGAACACCAGUGGCGAAGGCGGCUCUCUGGUCUGUAACUGACGCUGUGGCUCGAAAGCGUGGGGAGCAAACAGG
rnacentral:rRNA from 1 species